GACGAACGCUGGCGGCGUGCUUAACACAUGCAAGUCGAACGGACAGGCCCUGCUUUUGUGGGGUGCUCGAGUGGCGAACGGGUGAGUAACACGUGAGUAACCUGCCCUUGACUUUGGGAUAACUUCAGGAAACUGGGGCUAAUACCGGAUAGGAGCUCCUGCUGCAUGUUGGGGGUUGGAAAGUUUCGGCGGUUGGGGAUGGACUCGCGGCUUAUCAGCUUGUUGGUGUGGUAGUGGCUUACCAAGGCUUUGACGGGUAGCCGGCCUGAGAGGGUUACCGGGGACAUUGGGACUGAGAGACGGCCCAGACGCGUACGGGAGGCAGCAGUGGGGAAUAUUGCAGAAUGGGCGGAAGCCAGAUGCAGCAACGCCGCGUGCGGGAUAACGGCUUUCGGGUGAUAAACCGAUUUCGACUGUGACGAAGAGUGAGUGACGGUAAUGGGUAAAGAAGCAACGGCUAACUACGUG
rnacentral:rRNA from 1 species